GUCCAAAGCCAUACCAUCCUGCAUGUGUCUGAACUCAUAUAACCUCAGAAGCUUAGAAGGGCCAGGCUUGACUUGUACUUGGAUAGGAAGACAAAGUGCAAAGAACC
rnacentral:rRNA from 1 species